rnacentral:rRNA from 1 species
GUGGGGAAUAUUGGACAAUGGGCGAAAGCCUGAUCCAGCCAUGCCGCGUGUGUGAAGAAGGUCUUCGGAUUGUAAAGCACUGUAAGUUGGGAGGAAGGGCAGUAAGUUAAUACCUUGCUGUUUUGACGUUACCGACAGAAUAAGCACCGGCUAACUUCGUGCCAGCAGCCGCGGUAAUACGAAGGGUGCAAGCGUUAAUCGGAAUUACUGGGCGUAAAGCGCGCGUAGGUGGUGUUGUAAGUUGGAGGUGAAAUCCCCGGGCUCAACCUGGGAACUGCCUCCAAAACUGCAUGACUAGAGUACGGUAGAGGGUAGUGGAAUUUCCUGUGUAGCGGUGAAAUGCGUAGAUAUAGGAAGGAACACCAGUGGCGAAGGCGACUACCUGGACUGAUACUGACACUGAGGUGCGAAAGCGUGGGGAGCAAACAGGAUUAGAAACCCCUGUAGUCC